rnacentral:rRNA from 1 species
AGAGUUUGAUCCUGGCUCAGAAUGAACGCUGGCGGCGUGCUUAACACAUGCAAGUCGAACGAUGAAGCCUAGCUUGCUAGGUGGAUUAGUGGCGCACGGGUGAGUAAUAUAUAGAUAACGUGCCUCUUAGUCUGGGAUAGCCAUUGGAAACGAUGAUUAAUACUAGAUACUCCUUCUCAUUAUAAUUUGAGUUGGGAAAGUUUUUCGCUAAGAGAUCGGUCUAUAUCCCAUCAGGUAGUUGGUAGUGUAAGAGACUACCAAGCCUAUGACGGGUAGCGGGUUUGAGAGGAUGAUCCGCCACACUGGUACUGAGACACGGACCAGACUCCUACGGGAGGCAGCAGUGAGGAAUAUUGCACAAUGGAGGAAACUCUGAUGCAGCAACGCCGCGUGGAGGAUGACGCAUUUCGGUGUGUAAACUCCUUUUAUAGGUCAAGAAAAUGACGGUAGCCUAUGAAUAAGCACCGGCUAACUCCGUGCCAGCGGCCGCGGUAAUACGGAGGGUGCAAGCGUUAUUCGGAAUCACUGGGCGUAAAGGACACGUAGGCGGGAAGCCAAGUCUGAUGUGAAAUCCUAUGGCUUAACCAUAGAACUGCAUUGGAAACUGGUAACCUAGAGUAUGGGAGGGGGAGAUGGAAUUAGUGGUGUAGGGGUAAAAUCCGU